rnacentral:rRNA from 1 species
AUUGAACGCUGGCGGCAGGCCUAACACAUGCAAGUCGAGCGGAUGAAGGGAGCUUGCUCCUGGAUUCAGCGGCGGACGGGUGAGUAAUGCCUAGGAAUCUGCCUGGUAGUGGGGGAUAACGUCCGGAAACGGGCGCUAAUACCGCAUACGUCCUGUGGGGGAAAGUGGGGGAUCUUCGGACCUCACGCUAUCAGAUGAGCCUAGGUCGGAUUAGCUAGUUGGUGGGGUAAAGGCCUACCAAGGCGACGAUCCGUAACUGGUCUGAGAGGAUGAUCAGUCACACUGGAACUGAGACACGGUCCAGACUCCUACGGGAGGCAGCAGUGGGGAAUAUUGGACAAUGGGCGAAAGCCUGAUCCAGCCAUGCCGCGUGUGUGAAGAAGGUCUUCGGGUUGUAAAGCACUUUAAGUUGGGAGGAAGGGCAGUAAGUUAAUACCUUGCUGUUUUGACGUUACCGGCAGAAUAAGCACCGGCUAACUUCGUG